rnacentral:rRNA from 1 species
GACGAACGCUGGCGGCGUGCUUAACACAUGCAAGUCGAACGGAAAGGCCCUGCUUUUGUGGGGUGCUCGAGUGGCGAACGGGUGAGUAACACGUGAGUAACCUGCCCUUGACUUUGGGAUAACUUCAGGAAACUGGGGCUAAUACCGGAUAGGAGCUCCUGCUGCAUGGUGGGGGUUGGAAAGUUUCGGCGGUUGGGGAUGGACUCGCGGCUUAUCAGCUUGUUAGUGGGGUAGUGGCUUACCAAGGCUUUGACGGGUAGCCGGCCUGAGAGGGUGACCGGCCACAUUGGGACUGAGAUACGGCCCAGACUACUACGGGAGGCAGCAGUGGGGAAUAUUGCACAAUGGGCGGAAGCCUGAUGCAGCAACGCCGCGUGCGGGAUGACGGCCUUCGGGUUGUAAACCGCUUUCGCCUGUGACGAAGCGUGAGUGACGGUAAUGGGUAAAGAAGCACCGGCUAACUACGUG